rnacentral:rRNA from 1 species
CGUAGGGUGCAAGCGUUGUCCGGAAUUAUUGGGCGUAAAGAGCUCGUAGGCGGUUUGUCGCGUCUGCUGUGAAAUCCCGAGGCUCAACCUCGGGCCUGCAGUGGGUACGGGCAGACUAGAGUGCGGUAGGGGAGAUUGGAACUCCUGGUGUAGCGGUGGAAUGCGCAGAUAUCAGGAAGAACACCGAUGGCGAAGGCAGAUCUCUGGGCCGUAACUGACGCUGAGGAGCGAAAGCAUGGGGAGCGAACAGG